UACGAAGGGUGCAAGCGUUACUCGGAAUUACUGGGCGUAAAGCGUGCGUAGGCGGUUUGUUAAGUCUGAUGUGAAAGCCCUGGGCUCAACCUGGGAAUGGCAUUGGAUACUGGCAACCUAGAAUGUGGUAGAGGGUGGCGGAAUUCCCGGUGUAGCAGUGAAAUGCGUAGAUAUCUGGAGGAACACCGGUGGCGAAGGCGACAUCCUGGACCGGUAUUGACGCUGAGGCGCGAAAGCCAGGGGAGCAAAGCGGG
rnacentral:rRNA from 1 species